rnacentral:rRNA from 1 species
GGGAUUGCUUCAGUAACGGCGAGUGAAGCGGCAACAGCUCAAAUUUGAAAUCUGGCCUCGUCGGGGUCCGAGUUGUAAUUUGUAGAGAGUGUUUCGGGUGAGACCGCGGUCUAAGUCCAUUGGAACAUGGCGUCAUAGAGGGUGAGAAUCCCGUAUGCGACCGUGGGCCGAGCCCAUAUGAAGCCUCUUCGACGAGUCGAGUUGUUUGGGAAUGCAGCUCAAAAUGGGUGGUAAAUUUCAUCUAAAGCUAAAUACUGGCUGGAGACCGAUAGCGCACAAGUAGAGUGAUCGAAAGAUGAAAAGCACUUUGGAAAGAGAGUCAAACAGUACGUGAAAUUGUUGAAAGGGAAGCGCUUGCAACCAGACCUGCCCGCGGGCGAUCAGCCGCUGUUCUCAGCGGUGCACUCGUUCCGCGAUCAGGCCAGCAUCGGUUUCGGCGGUCGGAUAAAGGCCUUGGGAAUGUAGCUCUCCUUUGGGGGAGUUUUAUAGCCCUUGGUGCAAUGCGUCCAGCCGGGACCGAGGACCGCGCUUCGGCUAGGGUGCUGGCGUAAUGGUUGUAAGCGACCCGUCUUGAAACACGGACCAAGGAGUCUAACAUCUAUGCGAGUGUUUGGGUAUCAAACCCACACGCGGAAUGAAAGUGAACGGAGGUGAGAACCCUUGAGGGCGCAUCAUCGACCGAUCCAGAUGUCUUCGGAUGGAUUUGGGUAUGAGCAUAGCUGUUGCGACCCGAAAGGUGAGACCCUCGAUACUCUCCCCAAUCCCCGUAGCGUCUUACUAAUAAACUUUGCAGAUGGUGAACUAUGCCUGAAUAGGGUGAAGCCAGAGGAAACUCUGGUGGAGGCUCGCAGCGGUUCUGACGUGCAAAUCGAUCGUCAAAUUUGGGUAUAGGGGCGAAAGACUAAUCGCC